GUCAGCCUUGUCAAAUUCGCUGCUUCCUCUACAAUGGACCGCACUGGCCCAAAUGGCUGAACCUGUAGUUCAUGGGCCUCAUCUAUUUUACAUUGGUGUUGGAUACAUUUGUACUACAGACAAUA
rnacentral:snoRNA from 1 species